CAGGAAAUAGUUUAUUAAAAUAUUAAUUUUGGAGAUUAAAGAUGAGGGCUUCUUCUUUCCUGA
rnacentral:tRNA from 1 species